UACGGAGGGGGCUAGCGUUGUUCGGAAUUACUGGGCGUAAAGCGCACGUAGGCGGCUUUGUAAGUUAGAGGUGAAAGCCCAGGGCUCAACCCUGGAAUUGCCUUUAAGACUGCAUCGCUUGAACAUCGGAGAGGUAAGUGGAAUUCCGAGUGUAGAGGUGAAAUUCGUAGAUAUUCGGAAGAACACCAGUGGCGAAGGCGACCAACUGGACCAUUUCUGACGCUGAGGCGCGAAAGCGUGGGGAGCAAACAGG
rnacentral:rRNA from 1 species